UAUUAUUACAAAUUUUAUUAUUACAUACAUUAUCCUCUGAAGAUUGCAGCUCAAAACGACUAUUGGCCAAGGCGAGAAAGAGGAUCCAUGGGAGAUUCAAGCUAGAGAAACUCUCGAGCUCCCAGAUUCAAGCUCCAAAACACCCUCAAUCGCUCAAUAUUCAAGGUCAAAGGCAAAAGGUAGUAGUGAUAGGUGAAGGAGGAGCAGUAGGUUUUGCUGCAGUUCUUGUUGUGGCUGCAGGCUGUCAUGUGUGUUGUGGUGUUGAAAGUAUUGAUCGACGCUGGUGCAGAGCAGGCUAUUGAUUAUACUUCUGAGUUUAUACUGAUGUCAAGAAUUAAUCAAAAUCUGAUGGUGUGACCUGUUUAAACUGCACACAGGUGGUGGUAGUGCUGAUCCUGGAUUCUUGGCAUUAGGUAAAAUAUUUAGGAGAAUAUGGUAGUGCUGAUCCCCGUUUAUGUUCAUUUCGUUUCUUUUUCUGAUUUUUCUUUAAGUCAAGGAUUGUUCCAAUUGCCAACGUUAAGCAGAGUAACAAGUGCAACCCUUGGUAGCAGAGUGUGCAAUAAGUAUCUAUACUUAUUGUGAAUAUAGCUCAGAAACUUGUACAGAAUCUGUAUGGACAUAAUAAAUCUGAGAAACGACGGCUGCAGUGCCUACUGAACAUAUUAAAUCUGAGAAACUUCCUGACUAGCAGGUUUUCUUUAUUUGCCAAGUAUUUUGAAUCUAAUGCGUGCACCUGUGAUUCUAAAGCUAUUCAGAUUCUUGCAUGCAGGACAAUGAGUUUUAUCUCUUUCAGCCAGCUGAAGAAUAUCUGCCUAUAAUCGAAGAGGUUGUGGUACAUAGUCCAAAGUCAGAGAAGGCAGUUUGGUUAAAUUAACAUAUAUGCAUGGCGCUUAUUAUCAGACCAGAUCUUGUCACAUCGCACUACAAAACUCUUUCUACCAUCACCAAUCAGCUCUGCCAUCAGCUUAGUAUUUUGCAAAAAGUGCAUAAUGAAAAAAGCUGUGAUGAAAGCACAUGAGGCAUCACAACCAUGGAAAUAGAUCUGACAUGCAUUGAACUGGUGCAAAAAAACACAACCAGAACACUACCUAAUAAAUUUGAGGAUGACAAAGAAAAAUGGUGAAUUGGGAAAUGGCAAAGGAAAAUGUUAACAUUUAGACUAAGUCAUUUGUUUGAAUUAUGCGAGUAAGAUAUGGAAUGUUUUGUAAUACUAUAUUGUCACGGUCAAGAUACCGCUUUUGGAUUGUAAACAAUUGAAAAUUGUGGCUACAUAUGCCUGGCUAUUUGUAUUCGCAUCGAUAACCUUUUCAAUUUUUUUUAA